AUACAGCAAAGAUGUUAAAAAGAUCUGUUUACGACAACAAAAUAGAUCCACUUCCAGUACACUCAAGGCCCGCAGCAUCUGGUGUUGGAGAUCAGAUGUUGGAUGAAUUUAUUACAUAUCUAUCCCUUAAAGAAACUGGUUUACUAGACUUUUGCCUUGGCAGCAGACGUUAAGACGAAUUGAUUCACUUCCUGUCAUUUUUGUGUUAGUGUUGUUAUCUCCCUUUGUACAUACAUAAAACAAACUACUGAUUGUAUGUUAGAACGAAAGACACGGGGAAUUAUAGCCUCCGAUUGUGUUUUGAAACUGUGUUGUAAAGCUAAAAAUUCAGAACUUUACAUAAAGGUUUUUUGGAGAGAUGGCUGCCAGCGGAAUUUGUAAAAUGUUUAAUAGUGUGUUAAGUCAAUCAAUAAAAUAUAAUUGUGUUGUCACAAUAUAAUUAUGUUGCCACAAUAUAAUUAUGUUGUCACAAUAUAAUUAUGUUGUCACUUA